rnacentral:lncRNA from 1 species
CACCAUCAGGUGUCAACUCACUAACCAAACUCAAAUCUCGAAACUGCUCAAUCAAUUCCAACUCUUUAACCAUCAAAGCAGACAUAUGCAAAGUCUUUCUACUCAAAGCAUCAGCAACAACAUUCACUUUCCCGGGAUGAUAACUCAACUGAAAAUCAAAAUCCUUAAGAUAUUCCAACCAUCUCCUCUGCCUCAUAUUCAACUCUUUCUGAUCAAACAAAUACU